rnacentral:tRNA from 1 species
GCCCGGUUAGCUCAAUCGGUAGAGCGUGAGACUCUUAUAUCACGAUAUCUCAAGGCUGCGGGUUCGACCCCCGCAUUGGGCU